rnacentral:rRNA from 1 species
AGCUGAUCCAGCAAUGCCGCGUGAGUGAAGAAGGCCUUCGGGUUGUAAAGCUCUUUUGUCCGGAAAGAAAUCCUUGGCUCUUGUACAGUCCGGGGAUGACGGGUCCGUUAAGAAUAAACGCCGGGCUACUACGUGCCCGCAGCCGCGGUAAUACGUAGGGUGCGAGCGUUAAUCCGAAUUUCUGGGCGUAAAGCGUGCGCAGGCGGUUUGCUAAAACCGAUGUGUAAUCCCCGGGCUCAACCUGGGAACUGCAUUGGAGACUGGUUGGCUAGAGUAUGGAGAGGGGGGUAGAAUUCCAUGUGUAGCAGUGAAAUGCGUAGAGAUGUGGAGGAAUACCGAUGGCGAAGGCAGCCCCCUGGGCCGUUACUGACGCUCAUGCUCGAAAGCGUGGGGAGCAAACAGGAUUAGAUACCCCGGUAGUCA